GACCGUCACUCAGCUGUUUUUCUUUCGUUUCUUUUUUACCUCACUUUAGUGGAGGCAAUUCGUUACGCGAAAAAACAGCAAAUGACGAACAGAAAGCCUCCUUCACCGGGGGCUUUUUUGUA
rfam:Photobacterium ganghwense strain DSM 22954 contig0021, whole genome shotgun sequence.